CAGCCGCCGCGGUAAUACGAAGGGUGCAAGCGUUACUCGGAAUUACUGGGCGUAAAGCGUGCGUAGGUGGUGGUUUAAGUCCGUUGUGAAAGCCCUGGGCUCAACCUGGGGAUUGCAGUGGAUACUGGGUCACUAGAGUGUGGUAGAGGAUAGUGGAAUUUCCGGUGUAGCAGUGAAAUGCGUAGAGAUCGGAAGGAACAUCUGUGGCGAAGGCGACUAUCUGGGCCAACACUGACACUGAGGCACGAAAGCGUGGGGAGCAAACAGGAUUAGAUACCCCGGUAGUCCCUGUCUCUUAUAC
rnacentral:rRNA from 1 species